GAUGAAGAACGCAGCGAAAUGCGAUAAUUAAUGUGAAUUGCAGAAUUUAGUGAAUCAUCGAAUCUUUGAACGCACAUUGCGCCCCUUGGUAUUCCGGGGGGCAUGCCUGUUCGAGCGUCAUUUCAACCCUCAAGCUCUGCUUGGUCUUGGGCCGCGCCGGCAACGGCGGGCCUCAAAAACAGUGGCGGCGCCAUCGUGUCCCUCAGCGUAGUAAUUCUUCUCGCUGUUGGGUUCCGGUGGCCGCUGGCCAGCAACCCCCAAUUUUCUAUGGUUGACCUCGGAUCAGGUAGGGAUACCCGCUGAACUUAAGCAUAUCAAUAAGCGGAGGGA
rnacentral:misc_RNA from 1 species